UGCUCCCCAAGCACCAGUUCUCAUUCAGAUUCACGCCAAGUAACAACACGCGUCUGCAUUAUACAUUCGUCGUUGAUAAAAAGAUUACUCGAAAUCUUCUUUGACUCCAGCCAUUCAUUUUUUGUCGAUUGUUCUCAACCAGAGUUAAAUCGGUUAAAUUAAACCCCGAGAGUGCGUUUUGUCGGCAUUCUUGUUCUUCUUCCGUGUUUACGAGAAUAACACCUCGUGUGCAAUUACAACGAAUUGCAUCGCAUCUUCAAGUUCUAUUUCGGCUUCGCAGAGAUUGUGUAGUCUCAAUUCAAUAAAGAAAAAAAAUCGUCAAGUUGUAGAAACCAGAAGAAAAGAUGAGUACAGCCUUCGGUACACCGGCGUGGAGUUCAAACUCCUUCUGCAGCAGCUCCACCUCCUCGUCGCCCUCGUCCUCCAGAUCCAGCAGCACGACGUCAUCGCCCUCCACAAGUCCCCCAGAAAAUGACUCCAACAAGUUCAACUGGAUGGAAGCCAUCACGAACCUCCAGUCCCAAAUUACCGCCGAGGCCAAGGUGAAGAGGAAAUACGCCAUUUACACCAUCCCAGAAGAGACGAAGGAUGAACUGACUCGAUACAAGAUGAAAUAAUAAGUCUUACUUGUGACACUAGAAAUAGUUAAGUUAAUUAUGAUAAUUAUACAUCAGAAUAAUUCUACUCCAAGUCAAUUUACUUGUUGUACUCGUCAUACACUUCGUUUAGUAAUAUUUUUGAUAUUCAGCUGCUUUAAGUACUCGUCUUCCUCCAGAGUUGUAAUGUACGAAAAUGACAAAAGGAUGUGCGCAAUAUUAGAAUUUUGCUCGUGUUAUGUUGAGAAAAUAUUUAAAAAAAACUAAUAAAAAACAAACAGUGGUAUGAACUACCAAGAAAUCUGUUCCAUCGCCCACAAUCGCGAGCAGGAAGGAAGGUUUCAAAAUUUGACCAGGAUGUUUUUCCCAGGGAGGAAGCCUGUGAAUUAUGGGGCAGGUUGUUUGCGGUGUUGGAAGUAUUUCCCCGAGAUGUAUAUGAUGUGUGACAGUUUGUUAAAAACUUAUACUCAAUCAGUGUAUCAAGUAGGAUAAUGCAUAUGUACAUGUGGUUGUACGCAUAUUAUAUCUGUUUAGUCUGACUGACACUCGCUAAUAAAUUAAAUAAACGACUCCUUGCUAUCCGUAAAAAAA